rnacentral:rRNA from 1 species
CCCCUUAGUGCUGCAGCUAACGCAUUAAGCACUCCGCCUGGGGAGUACGACCGCAAGGUUGAAACUCAAAGGAAUUGACGGGGGCCCGCACAAGCGGUGGAGCAUGUGGUUUAAUUCGAAGCAACGCGAAGAACCUUACCAGGUCUUGACAUCCUUUGACCACUCUGGAGACAGAGCUUUCCCUUCGGGGACAAAGUGACAGGUGGUGCAUGGUUGUCGUCAGCUCGUGUCGUGAGAUGUUGGGUUAAGUCCCGCAACGAGCGCAACCCUUGAUUUUAGUUGCCAGCAUUUAGUUGGGCACUCUAAAGUGACUGCCGGUGCAAGCCGGAGGAAGGUGGGGAUGACGUCAAAUCAUCAUGCCCCUUAUGACCUGGGCUACACACGUGCUACAAUGGAUAGUACAAAGGGUCGCGAAGCCGCGAGGUGGAGCUAAUCCCAUAAAACUAUUCUCAGUUCGGAUUGUAGGCUGCAACUCGCCUACAUGAAGCCGGAAUCGCUAGUAAUCGUGGAUCAGCAUGCCACGGUGAAUACGUUCCCGGGCCUUGUACACACCGCCCGUCACACCACGAGAGUUUGUAACACCCGAAGUCGGUAGGGUAACCUUUAUGGAGCCAGCCGCCGAAGGUGGGACAGAUAAUUGGGGUGAAGUCGUAACAAGGUAGCCGUAUCGGAAGGUGCGGCUGGAUCACCUCCUUUCUAAGGAA